rnacentral:tRNA from 1 species
GCUCUCUUAGCUCAGUCGGUAGAGCGCUUCCAUGGUAAGGAAGAGGUCGCCGGUUCGAUUCCGGCAGUGAGCUCCA